rnacentral:rRNA from 1 species
AGAGUUUGAUCAUGGCUCAGGACGAACGCUGGCGGCGUGCCUAAUACAUGCAAGUCGUACGCACAGACGACGGAACUUGUUCCGUUUGACGUGAGUGGCGCACGGGUGAGUAACACGUGGGAAACCUACCCUUCAGCGGGGGAUAACCGUCGGAAACGAUGGCUAAUACCGCAUAGGUCUUUGAACCGCCUGGUUUAAAGAGGAAAGACGGCUUCGGCUGUCACUGAAGGAUGGUCCUGCGGUGCAUUAGCUAGUUGGUAAGGUAAAGGCUUACCAAGGCGAUGAUGCAUAGCCGACCUGAGAGGGUGAUCGGCCACAUUGGGACUGAGACACGGCCCAGACUCCUACGGGAGGCAGCAGUGAGGAAUAUUGGACAAUGGAUGGAAAUCUGAUCCAGUCAUGCCGCGUGCAGGAAGACUGCCUUAUGGGUUGUAAACUGCUUUUAUACGGGAGCAAUAAGGGUUACGUGUAACCUGAUGAGAGUACUGUAUGAAUAAGGAUCGGCUAACUCCGUGCCAGCAGCCGCGGUAAUACGGAGGAUCCGAGCGUUAUCCGGAAUUAUUGGGUUUAAAGGGUGCGUAGGCGGCUAUUUAAGUCAGCGGUGAAAUUUUGCAGCUUAACUGUAACAGUGCCGUUGAAACUGUUUAGCUAGGAUUUGGUUGCAGUGUGCGGAAUGUGUGGUGUAGCGGUGAAAUGCUUAGAUAUCACACAGAACACCAAUUGCGAAGGCAGCACACUAAGUCAAUAUUGACGCUGAGGCACGAAAGUGUGGGGAUCAAACAGGAUUAGAUACCCUGGUAGUCCACACUGUAAACGAUGAUAACUCGCUGCCGGCGAUACAUUGUCGGUGGCCAAGCGAAAGCAUUAAGUUAUCCACCUGGGGAGUACGACCGCAAGGUUGAAACUCAAAUGAAUUGACGG